CGCACCACCCGUCCACCCCCAACCCUUCACCAAACCCUCCUCGCAGCGCCGCCGCCACGCCCUCCCAGAUCUCAGAUCCCAUCUCCUCUCCUCAGCAUCCUCCUCCCCACCCCAUCCUUAUCGCCGCGCCCCGCGCCUGAGCGCCUCCCGUCAGCCGCCGCGCCCGUUUCCCCAGACCCCGUCGACGCCGCCGACCACCUUCCGCGGCUUCCCCCGUCGAGCCGCGUCUCCUUCUGCUGGCUGGAUCUCGUCCGGAUGAUGUGCGCCGUCCGCCGGUUUUGUCGGGGAGCCCGGCGGCUCUGUGGUGUUCAAGCAGGAACCUCAUGCUACCGGCAGCAUGCGGCGCUUGCUUGAACAUCCCAGAGCCACCGGCGUGCCAAAAUUCACGCAGGAGACCAGUCGAGGAGAGAUCCGCCAAGCUGGAGUACCUGAACGUCUUCUUCAAGUACUCCACUUUUUUUUUCUUGCGGAGAAAAAGGUGGAAUACUUGAAGAAGAUUUUCAGGUCGUCCAUUAGAAAUCUCACCAUAUUAACCCAAAACCGUGCUGCAUCCCGCAGAGUUCAUUCAAGUUCAAGGCAGGCAUGCGCUUUUGGGCAGAUCAUAGUUUGUUAACGGUGAUGUGCUCUAGGUCUAGGUUUGUUGAUUUAUCUGCCCUGAUAAUUUUAAUCCUUAAUCCUGAUAGUUAUUCAGUAGGGAUGAAAGCAUGGCAAAACUAUGGAUAAUAUCUAACAUUUUUGUGUUUUCAAGUACGGUUACUCGUGUGUAGAGAAGUUCAGCACAACCAUGCUCCUAAAGCUGGUUAAGAAUUAUGCAUUAAAAUAGGUAUGUAAAAAUGAAAAUAUGAUUCCAAUUGGAAUGCUAGGUUUGAAGAUUUCAUAUGGAGGUUGGUAGCAUAACUCUUUAAGUAUCAAGUGUCAUUCAUUUGAAGCUGCUUUUGCCAUGGUAAUAUUAUCUCAAUCACACUGACAACUGGACUUCUUGUUAUCCUUGCCUCUUUGAGAUCUGCCUCUCGUGAAUGACAACUAUGCUUUUUUUUGCACAAUGUAGCGUACAGUUUUCCUGUUCUUCUUUUGCAGAACACUAUUGUGCAGUUGGGUAUUUGUGCUUAUGCCAGUACUGUGUUCUAGAUUCUCCCUUGCUGAUUGGUUUGUUCUCUAUUUAUUUUUUUGAUAUCCGUUUCUCAAUUUUUACAUCUUUUCUGUUUGCAUCAUCAGCUAGUUAGGGAGUUGAGUGUUGAUGACAUUUAUGUGGACUAGAGUUUCUGAUACUGCCUCUUCAGCAGUACUUUUGAAGACAAACCCUUGGCCGUCUGACCUCCCCCCUCCCUCUAACUGGUGCAUUUAUAUCUUUGGAUUAGUUCACGUUUUCAUUUGUUCAUUGCCAAUUUCUCAGGAUGAUUUACCAACUCCUUGAGAUGAUUUGUGUUUCUUAUGGUAUGAUUGCUUGGACUUUAGGUUGUUGUGUUGUGACUGCUUGGGUGUUUUUCAUUGGGCGUGUUGCCAUGUCUCUGGUAGCUACAGCUUUGACCAGAGAUGCUACUUUGUGCCAACAGAGAGAUCUUGGAUGUUUCACGUUUGAUAGUUACCUGUGGACGUGAUUUAGUCGGAACACAGAGCUGUUUUGUUUCAUUAAAAAAAACCUAUUUCUAAGCUUAUUUUAAAUUGGAGUAAAUCAAUGGUGAUGAUGAUAAAACAUAGGCUUGUUUCUCAAAACAUUCGCAGUUGCCGCCUAAGAGCUUUCGCCCUGCCAGGCUUGAGAGCUAAUGCUGCUAAUUCCUUCCUUGGAUGUCUGAGCCAUGUUGAUUUUACUCAUUUGAAUCUUUUUUUUCUCUGCUUUAUCUUCUUGAUUUAACAGGAUAUUUUGUUGUUAUACUUGCUUUUCCUACUUAACAAUAAUAUAUUUUUGCUGUACUUCUUUUAAUUGGGUGAAAUCAGUGGCGAUGAUGAUAAAACUUUGGCAUGUUUCUCAAAACAUUCGCAGUUGCCGCCUAAGAGCUUUCGCCCUGCCAGGCUUGAGAGCUAAUGCUGCUAAUUCCUUCCUUGGAUGUCUGAGCCAUGUUGAUUUUACUCAUCUGAAUCUUUUUUUCUCUCUGCUUUAUCUUCUUGAUUUAACAUGAUAUUUUGUUGUUAUACUUGCUUUGCAUACUUAACAAUAAUAUACUUUUGCUUUACUUCUUUUAAUUGGGUGAAAUCAGUGGCGAUGAUGAUAAAACUUUGGCUUGUUUCUCAAAACAUUCGCAGUUGCCGCCUAAGAGCUUUCGCCCUGCCAGGCUUGAGAGCUAAUGCUGCUAAUUCCUUCCUU